GGGAUAUGGUCAAUAGCCUAACGGCUGAACCAGCAACUUGGAGGAAUGUAUAGCAAUCGCUAUUUGCACUAAAAGUUUUUAGUGUAAAAUCGACUUUGUCGAAUAAAAUUCUGGAUAGAAUUAUGAUAAUGACAUUACCUKUCCAUAAGUCUUGACCAAAUUACGUGCCAGCAGUCGCGGUAAUACGUAGAAGACAAGUGUUAUUCAUCUUUAAUAGGUUUAAAGGGUACUUAGACGGUAAACAAAGCCUUCAAAAGGGACUAGUUUGCUAGAGUUUUAUGUGAAGGAGUUUUAAAGUACUACUGGUGUAGAGAUGAAAUUCAGUUAUACCUUACAUGGCACAGGUUAAGGCGAAAGCAUCUUCUUAUGUAAAAACUGACGUUGAAGGACGAAGGCUUUGUGUCUCGAACAGGAUUAGAUACCCUAGUAGUCUAAGCAGAAAAUNAUGAAUGUCAUAGAUUAGAUUUAUUUUGAUCUGUAAAUGAAAGUGUAAGCAUUCCACCUCAAGAGUAAUUUGGCAACAUUGGAACUGAAAUCAUUAGACCGUUUCUGAAACCAGUAGUGAAGUAUGUUGUUUAAUUUGAUAAUCCGCAAAAAACCUUACCACAAUUUGAAUAGAUAUAUUUUAUCAUACAAGCGUUGCACGGCUGUYUUCAGUUAAUGUCGUGAGACUUUGGUUAGUUCCAUUAAAUUAACGUAAACCCUUACUUUAUUUUUAUAUAAAGUAGUUCACCGCUAUAUAGGAUGUGAUAAUMGGGAUCG
rnacentral:rRNA from 1 species